UCAGUUCUCGAGGGAGCUGAUUGUGGGCAUUGCGAGAAGCUGUCCGCGAGGACGCUCCGCUCCCGCCGGGCGUUCUCCGAGGAGGACGGUUCGGUUCGCGGUCCCCGCGCGGGUCUCUCUGUUGCCGAGGCACGGAGACGACUCGCAUUUCGGGGUUCGCAAACGGAUCUGACAGCGGGGGUUGGGACGAGCUCAGCUCUAUCUCAGCUUUCACAUGCCAGAUCUGGACUGCGAUUUCCAGUUCCGAGGAAUUGGUAUCGUUAGUGUU